GAUGAACGCUGACAGAAUGCUUAACACAUGCAAGUCGAUGGGGAAGCGGCGCUUGCGCCGUGGCAACCAUGGCGGACGGGUGAGUAACGCGUAAAGAACUUGCCGGAUGGACCGGGAUAACAGCUGGAAACGGCUGGCAAGACCGGAUACUAUGGGCUGGCCGCAUGGCUGGCCCAUGAAAAGGGAUGCCGUCCGAGAGCUUUGCGUCCUAUUAGCUGGUUGGUAAGGUGACGGCUUACCAAGGCGAUGAUAGGUAGCCGGCCUGAGAGGGUGGACGGCCACAAGGGGACUGAGAUACGGCCCUUACUCCUACGGGAGGCAGCAGUGGGGAAUAUUGGACAAUGGGGGCAACCCUGAUCCAGCAAUUCUGUGUGCACGAAGAAGGUUUUCGGAUCGUAAAGUGCUUUCAGCAGGGAGGAAGGAAGUGACUGUACCUGCAGAAGAAGCGACGGCUAAAUACGUGCCAGCAGCCGCGGUAAUACGUAUGUCGCGAGCGUUAUCCGGAAUUAUUGGGCAUAAAGGGCAUCUAGGCGGCCGGGUAAGUCCGGGGUGAAAACUGCUGGCUCAACCAGCAGCCUGCCUUGGAAACUACCCGGCUUGAGUGCCGGAGAGGUGGACGGAACUGCACGAGUAGAGGUGAAAUUCGUAGAUAUGUGCAGGAAUGCCGAUGAUGAAGAUAGUUCACUGGACGGCAACUGACGCUGAAGUGCGAAAGCUAGGGGAGCGAACAGG
rnacentral:rRNA from 1 species